AGCCACCAGUGCCUGGCUACAUACACUUUAAACAUAACAAUUCUCAAAUUCUAAUCUGGAGAUUCCUAAAUUCUCAUUCAUUGGGAUGCCCUGAUAUAAUAUCAGAGGAUAUCAUAUCAAAUCAUCAAUGUGAAAAUCUCAAAGGAAAAACUAUGUACAAUUUUUCCAUAGACAUGGAAGUGGGAGGAAACAAUCACAAGAUAUUGAUUUGACACUUUUAACAAGUGUAAGAUAGGGAACGUGAGUUAGGACUAUUAGGUCUCUAUCACUUUUUAUGUGGCUAUGGUGACAGGGAAGGGUUCCUCAAAUGUAAAAAAGUUUCAGAAUGUCAUACAACCAAUUCAUCAGAAGACUGAAUGUCUUUCCCCCAUAUAAUACAGUAUAAUGAACAGUAAUAGG